rnacentral:tRNA from 1 species
GGGAAUAUGGCUUGGUGGUAGAGCACUUGCCUAGCAUGCAUGAAGCCCUGGGUUCAAUUCCUUAGUACCA